UUUGGUGAAUAAGUGCUCUUUUCUUUUAGUUUGUGCUUAUAAAUCUAAACAGAUUUGUAUCUAUUUUUAAUUUUUAAUUAAUAAGGACACAUAUUCGGUCACUAUUAGAAAUGUACAUUUUAUUCACCCAGCAAACACAACUAUGUGGUAUGAGUUAGUCUCUUGGUGGUGAUACGCCAUUAUGGAAACAUUUUAUCUUAGUAGUGACGAGAAAGUAAAGCCCCAGAAACAAGAAAUCUGACCGCUUUAAACAUCUGAAUUUAUCUACAACCCUACUGAGAGCAGCUACUUGUAAAAUUAAAUCUCCCCGGAAUAACCCAAGCUAGCAACUGGACAAGUUACCUCAGCACAGAUCCACAUGAUGGCGCAGAAACACCACAAACAUUCCUGACAACGCUUCAUUCGUAAAAGCUGGAGAAUCAGACGCGAAACACCAAACCGAGACAAACUCAACAAGGAUGCCUGGGAUCGUUGUUUGGAUAAAUGAUUAUCUGUUAAAAGCAUUGAUAAGCUAAGUUGUUUGUGAGCGAGUGGAACAGCGACCAUGUUGUGGUUGUAGCGGUAAAUGUUGGUAUUGUUUAUGCUGCUUAUUUUGCACAAAGAGUGUUUAGUUUUUGUCUGUUUCUAUUUACAAGUACAAAUAAAGUACAUUUAUUGAAAUUUUA